AUUGAACGCUGGCGGCAGGCCUAACACAUGCAAGUCGAACGGUAACAGGAAACAGCUUGCUGUUUCGCUGACGAGUGGCGGACGGGUGAGUAAUGUCUGGGAAACUGCCUGAUGGAGGGGGAUAACUACUGGAAACGGUAGCUAAUACCGCAUAACGUCGCAAGACCAAAGAGGGGGACCUUCGGGCCUCUUGCCAUCGGAUGUGCCCAGAUGGGAUUAGCUAGUAGGUGGGGUAACGGCUCACCUAGGCGACGAUCCCUAGCUGGUCUGAGAGGAUGACCAGCCACACUGGAACUGAGACACGGUCCAGACUCCUACGGGAGGCAGCAGUGGGGAAUAUUGCACAAUGGGCGCAAGCCUGAUGCAGCCAUGCCGCGUGUAUGAAGAAGGCCUUCGGGUUGUAAAGUACUUUCAGCGGGGAGGAAGGGAGUAAAGUUAAUACCUUUGCUCAUUGACGUGACCCGCAGAAGAAGCACCGGCUAACUCCGU
rnacentral:rRNA from 1 species